rnacentral:rRNA from 1 species
UGCGCAGGCGGACUAUUAAGUCAGUGGUGAAAUCUCUCGGCUCAACCGGGAAACUGCCAUUGAUACUGUUAGUCUUGAGUUCGGUUGAGGUAGGCGGAAUGUGUAAUGUAGCGGUGAAAUGCUUAGAUAUUACACAGAACACCAAUUGCGUAGGCAGCUUACUAGACCGACACUGACGCUGAGGCACGAAAGCGUGGGGAGCGAACAGGAUUAGAUACCCUGGUAGUC